GAUGAACGCUGGCGGCGUGCUUAACACAUGCAAGUCGAACGAAGCAUUUAGAACAGAUUACUUCGGUUUGAAGUUCUUUAUGACUGAGUGGCGGACGGGUGAGUAACGCGUGGGUAACCUGCCUUGUACUGGGGGAUAGCAGCUGGAAACGGCUGGUAAUACCGCAUAAGCGCACAAUGUUGCAUGACAUGGUGUGAAAAACUCCGGUGGUAUAGGAUGGACCCGCGUCUGAUUAGCUAGUUGGUGAGAUAACAGCCCACCAAGGCGACGAUCAGUAGCCGACCUGAGAGGGUGACCGGCCACAUUGGGACUGAGACACGGCCCAGACUCCUACGGGAGGCAGCAGUGGGGAAUAUUGCACAAUGGAGGAAACUCUGAUGCAGCGACGCCGCGUGAGUGAAGAAGUAAUUCGUUAUGUAAAGCUCUAUCAGCAGGGAAGAUAGUGACGGUACCUGACUAAGAAGCUCCGGCUAAAUACGUG
rnacentral:rRNA from 1 species